rnacentral:lncRNA from 1 species
UUUUUUUUUUUUUUUUUUUUUUUUUUUUUUGGCUUUUCAGGGGCUGCACCUGCGUCAUUCGGAAGUUCCCAGGCUAGGGGUCAAAUCAGAGCUACAGCUGCAGGCCUAUGCCACAGCCACAGUAAAGUGGGAUCCAAGCCAUGUCUGUGACCUACACCACAGCCCACGGCAAUGCCAGAUCCUAAAUCCACUGACCAAGGCCAGGGAUUGAACCCAUGUCCUCAUGGAUAUUAGUCAGCUUUGUAACCCACUGAGCCACAAUGAGAACUCCCUAAAAAGAUGCUUUUAAUACAAUCAUUUUUUGCUUGAAUUAGCCAGUCAAUUUCUGUUGUUCACAACUAAGAACCCUCUGGAUUACAGGGGAAAGGACAAAAGCAUUCAAUUAUGAUAUAGCAGGACAAGGGUUAUGAUAAAAGCACAGAGUCUGUGGAAGCACUUAGGGGGCACCUAACCCCAUCUUUUUAUCUUCUCAAAUGAAAUAACCCUAUGCUACCUGGAAUUGCUAGUCAGCUCUUCUCAUUCAUUUUACAGGCCACUGCAAAUUCAAAGGCUCAUAACCAUCUUCUCAAUUUACCCUUCCUUAGGUAGUAGUUCUUGUUACAUUCACAUAAGAAUUAUUUGGGGGAGUUCCCGUCGUGGCUCAGUAGAUAGUGAACCUGAUUUGGAUCAAACCCACAUCGUCAUGGAUUCUAGUCAGGUUUGUUUCCACUGAACCACAAUGGGAACUCCAAGAAAUGGAGUUAUUAUUAAUGGGAGAAGUCAGAGCAUCAGGGAAAGUAGGGUAAAUAGCUUGGCAAACUCAGAUUCUAGAAAGAAAAAUCAUGAAAAGAUAGGGUAGUGAGAUCACAGUGGGCCAGAUAAUAUACACUCCUACCUGUGAGGACAGAAGUCAGGCCAUGCCAAGUCUCCCUGGCAGACAGCAGUGUGGUAUAGUAAAAAAAGGGCUACAUUAUGGACUGGAAUAAAAACACUGUGGAACUUAAUCCUGGACCCAUUUCUAAAUUUCUCUGGGGUCUUCAAGAUUCCUUCUAGCUUCACAUCCUCUGACAUCCAUGUAGUUAGGCUAGGUAGACCUCCUAGAGUCUUUAAUUCCACAUGUAGUACUGAGAUUUUAUCACCACUAAGCAACUGAACAGGCCAAUGACCCAAGUACCCUAACCAAUUUCUCCUAGAGGUAUCCUCUCAUAUGUGAAAUAUAAUAUGUAUAAGUAUGUUUAUAAUAGCCAAAGCUUGGAUGUGACCUAAAUAUCUACCAACAAAGGGACUGCUUAAAUAAAUUCUGAUAUAUCUCUAAUAAUUAUGGGACGCCAUGCAGCCACAAAGAAGCUCUUUAUGUACUGAUAUUAAACAGUUUUUCUUUUUUUAAAAUUUUUUAUUAUGGUUGAUUUAUUACAAUUUUCUGUCAAUUUCUGCUGUAUAGUAAAGUCACCCAGUACAUUUAUAUACAUUCUUUUUUUCCACAUUAUCCUCCCUCAUGUUCCAUCACAAGUGAUUAGAUAUAGUUCCCUGUGCUAUACAGCAGGAUCUCAUUGCUUAUCCUCUCCAAAUGCAAUAGUUUGCAUUUACUAACCCCAAACCCCUAGUCCAUCUUACUCUCUUCCCCAUCCCCUUAGCAACCACAAGUCGAAACAGGUUUUCUAUAUAAAAAGUGAGGAGUUCCCUGGUAGCUCACUGGGUUAAGGAUCCAGAACUUUCACUGCUAUGGCUUGGGUUGCUGCUGUGGCACAGGUUCAAUCUUUGGCCUAGAAACUUUUGUAGCCAAAAAACAGUGAAAAAAAGCAACAUGCAUAAGAACAUUUACGGUGUGCUACAAUUUGUAUAAAAAUGAAGGGUGUACAUAUACAAAUAUGCAUAGAAUAUCUCAGGAAGGAUAUACAAGAAACUGGUAACAGGAGUUCCCAUUGUGGCUCAGAAGGUUAAGAACUUGACUAGUAUCCAUGAUGAUGCAGGUCGAUCCCCUGCCUCGCUCAGUGGGUUAAGAAUCCAGCAUUGCUGCAAGCCGUGGUGUAGGUCACAGAUGCGGCUCAGAUCUGGAAUUGCUGUGGCUGUGGCUGUGGCUGUGGUUGGCAGCUGCAGCUUUGAUUCAACCCUGAACCUGGGAACUUCCAUAUUUUGCAAGUGCGGCCCUAAAAAAAGAAAAAAGAAAAAAGAAAAAA